ensembl:lncRNA
GGCGGAUAGAAGAUAUUCAUCGAGGCGGCUAAUGUUCCUUUCGCUGGUUGCCAACCACCAUUAAAUAACAACAAGAAGAAAAUAUUGAUCUGCUUUUCUUAGUUUUGCACGUUUAAGACGCAAUUCAGACUCAAACAAAGCUGCAAAGCAGGAGAACAACAUGGCCAUCAACUAUUCUGUGCCACAGAUCCAGUUCGCUGCAGUACAGAGUGAUGAUGAGAUGGUGGAAGAACAACAAAGACAAUUUACGGACCGUUAACAUGUGCAAUUUAGAAGUAGUCAGAGGUAACUGGAUGGAGUUCAGUCACGUUAAAUGCACGGUUGAUUGGAUUAUAUCUGAAGAUCGUAUGCUAUUCGUGACAACUCUACUAGACUCCUAAUUUCUCGUCCAUGAGGGAGUAUCUCAAAAGUAAAUGAAACAUCUAAACUUAACACUUUUUCCCUAAAACGGACUGACAUGGGAAACAUUAAAGUUGGAUUGACACCAGCUAAUCAGUCUGAAGGAAUCACAGAACAAGAAGGGAGACCACUGAGGAGGAAUUUUAUAAGUUCACUGGUGACCUCAGCUGUCAAGUUCCUGGAUGUGGGUAUGCUGCACAAAACUUUACAACUCUGUGCCCAUCUCAGAUUUCACAUCAAAGAGAGGAAAAAAGUAUUAUGUCCAUUUGAAGAUUGCUCUAAAUACUUCAGUGUCCGAACAUCAUUUUCCAGCCGUAUUUCUCGAAAACAUAAGUAGACAGUUCAGUAGUGAUGGCCAAAUGAAACUUUCUGAAGCACUGAAGCUUGUACUGAAAAACGGUUCAUUACUCGAAGCUUUUCAACACAGUCCUCUCCGGUGACAUCUGGUGGCGAAAAUUAUGAAGAGCAGCUUGAAUCUGCAAAAUUAAACGGACUGCUUAAUUAUCACUGCUCACUCCACAGAGUGGAGUUCUCUCUGAUAUUGGGCCACCGUUGCGUUGCUUUGAACAUGUAAUUGUUAUUUUUUUCCUCGAUUGGGGGGCUGAAAAAUUUGUAAUGCUCAUUUGCUUAAUACAUUUUGAUCAAUAAACUUUCCUUAUGAAACAUGCACCAUGGUGUGGCCUUUCUUUGCUUAUGACUCCUUGAUGUUGGUAAAUACACUAAGUGAGCAAUAUAUAUAAUAUACAUAUGAUAAUGUACAGCACACCAUGGAGUAUGCUCCUGCUGUGAAGUCCUGCCUCCAUCUACUUGUGCAUUUAAUCACUGGACAGCUGGACAGGUAUGUUCAUACAAACUAUUAGAUUAUGCCAAUUGUCCUAUACAUAUUUUUGACCUAGGGGUAGGAUUGAUUGUGAACUGGAAAGGGAAAAUGCUUAGGGGGCUGAGUACGGCUGGGUAUCGUCACUGAUUUGUAGAAUCAUUUUGAUUCAAUACAGGAUCCGAUUCAAUUUGAUUGGAAUCUUGAAGGUUUUGCCUCAGACAGUCAGAAAUAUUACAAUUCUGAUCAUUUAUCAGUAUAAAUCCAUAUUUUUGUAUCUAUUAAAAGAAAGCUGACACUUGUGAGACUUAAUUAGAGAUGUAAACAGAGAGUUAUGAAACCUGCAGCUUCAGAAGCCAGCAGGAAAAAAAAAGGUAAACAGUGCGAACCCGCCGACACAUCAAAAUUUGAUUCUGACGCGUCGGGUCCGCGCUCUGUGUUUACGUUUGUAUGUUUUAGCUGUUUGGUGUUUGACGACAUUUUGUGAGGUUUAACCUGAGAUGCUGGCAUUUCACGCAAAAUAACAUUUAAUUUA